AGCCUUGUAGUGAAAUUCACAUCGGAUUGCAACUCCGGAAAUGAAGAGAGGACCUUCCGGGGCUU
ensembl:Mt_tRNA